rnacentral:misc_RNA from 1 species
GAUGAAGAACUUAGCGAAAUGCGAUAAGUAAUGUGAAUUGCAGAAUUCAGUGAAUCAUCGAAUCUUUGAACGCACAUUGCGCCCCUUGGUAUUCCGAGGGGCAUGCCUGUUCGAGCGUCAUUAUAACCCCUCAAGCUUAGCUUGGUGUUGGGGCCUGCUGUAAUAGAGCAGCCCUUAAAAUCAGUGGCGGUGCCAUUAGGCUCUAAGCGUAGUAAUUCUUCUCGCUAUAGGGUUCUGGUGGAUGCUUGCCAUUAACCUCUAAUUUUCUAUGGUUGACCUCGGAUCAGGUAGGGAUACCCGCUGAACUUAAGCAUAUCAAUAAGCGGAGGA